GCUCCCAUAGUCUAGCCCGGUCAAGGAUAUCGCCCUCUCACGGCGAGGACGCGGGUUCGAAUCCCGCUGGGAGCA
rnacentral:tRNA from 1 species